rnacentral:tRNA from 1 species
AGCACCGCACUUGUAAUGCGAUGGUCAUCGGUUCGACUCCGAUAGCGGGCU